rnacentral:rRNA from 1 species
GACGAACGCUGGCGGCGUGCCUAAUACAUGCAAGUAGAACGCUGAAGGAGGAGCUUGCUUCUCUGGAUGAGUUGCGAACGGGUGAGUAACGCGUAGGUAACCUGCCUGGUAGCGGGGGAUAACUAUUGGAAACGAUAGCUAAUACCGCAUAAUAGUAGAUGUUGCAUGACAUUUGCUUAAAAGGUGCAAUUGCAUCACUACCAGAUGGACCUGCGUUGUAUUAGCUAGUUGGUGGGGUAACGGCUCACCAAGGCGACGAUACAUAGCCGACCUGAGAGGGUGAUCGGCCACACUGGGACUGAGACACGGCCCAGACUCCUACGGGAGGAAGCAGUAGGGAAUCUUCGGCAAUGGACGGAAGUCUGACCGAGCAACGCCGCGUGAGUGAAGAAGGUUUUCGGAUCGUAAAGCUCUGUUGUAAGAGAAGAACGAGUGUGAGAGUGGAAAGUUCACACUGUGACGGUAUCUUACCAGAAAGGGACGGCUAACUACGUG